AGCGAACGCUGGCGGCAGGCUUAACACAUGCAAGUCGAGCGGGCACUUCGGUGUCAGCGGCAGACGGGUGAGUAACACGUGGGAACGUACCCUUCGGUUCGGAAUAACGCUGGGAAACUAGCGCUAAUACCGGAUACGCCCUUUUGGGGGAAGGUUUACUGCCGAAGGAUCGGCCCGCGUCUGAUUAGCUAGUUGGUGGGGUAAUGGCCUACCAAGGCGACGAUCAGUAGCUGGUCUGAGAGGAUGAUCAGCCACACUGGGACUGAGACACGGCCCAGACUCCUACGGGAGGCAGCAGUGGGGAAUAUUGGACAAUGGGCGCAAGCCUGAUCCAGCCAUGCCGCGUGAGUGAUGAAGGCCUUAGGGUUGUAAAGCUCUUUUGUCCGGGACGAUAAUGACGGUACCGGAAGAAUAAGCCCCGGCUAACUUCGUG
rnacentral:rRNA from 1 species